rnacentral:rRNA from 1 species
UGGGGAAUUUUGGACAAUGGGGGAAACCCUGAUCCAGCCAUCCCGCGUGUGCGAUGAAGGCCUUCGGGUUGUAAAGCACUUUUGGCAGGAAAGAAACGUCAUGGGUUAAUACCCCGUGAAACUGACGGUACCUGCAGAAUAAGCACCGGCUAACUACGUGCCAGCAGCCGCGGUAAUACGUAGGGUGCAAGCUUUAAUCGGAAUUACUGGGCGUAAAGCGUGCGCAGGCGGUUCGGAAAGAAAGAUGUGAAAUCCCAGAGCUCAACUUUGGAACUGCAUUUUUAACUACCGGGCUAGAGUGUGUCAGAGGGAGGUGGAAUUCCGCGUGUAGCAGUGAAAUGCGUAGAUAUGCGGAGGAACACCGAUGGCGAAGGCAGCCUCCUGGGAUAACACUGACGCUCAUGCACGAAAGCGUGGGGAGCAAACAGG